UGCCUGCCUCAAAGGCACAGGGAUCCAAAUUCGAUCCCUGGUACAAAAAAAACAAACUACUGUGGGUGUCUGAAUAGGCUGGGAGGAGACUGGGAAAAAUGCCCAAGAUGUGCUGCUUAGCUGCUAGGGCUUGUGAAUGAUGGGAUACUGGUAACAAAACUUCCCUUAAACUCUCUUCUGUGGAAUCUUAGGUAAGGCUCUAUGUAUAUCAGAUUUCUAGAACCCAAGAAAUUGUGGGUGAAGAGAUGGUAUAACCAGCUUGAGGGCAGUCUCUAAACCUGUCAUUUUUACUAUUUUCCUCCACUAUCACUUUUUUUUUUUUUUUGAGACAGGGUCUUGCUAUAUAGUUCAGGCUGGCCUUGAACUCAACAGCGAUUCUCCCGCCUCAGCCUCAAGGUUGCUGGGAUUACAGGCCCACUACCAUUUUUAACCGCUGGGAAAUCAGGCCCCUCCAUACCAGGGAGAGUUCCUAGCUGAAAUCUCUCCUAGACCCCCAGGACAAAACCAUUUGUGGCAAGGUCAAGGUGGGAAUGAGUUAAUAUCACAAGAGUAAGUGACCUCUUUCCCCAUUCCCAACCCCCUUCUUACCCUUCCAUGGGAAGAUCCCACUGACAUCAAACCACGUCAUUCCUUACCCCAUAAAGAUCCUCUUUAUUUAUAGACUCUAUAAAAGCUUUUUAAGUCUCCUACUUCCCAAGAGAGCUCUGGGAUGUCAGUCCACUGCCCUAGUUCUAGCCCUCCCCUCUAUCCACCCCCAAUAAGACUGAGAGUCCCAGGGCAUGACUAUAUACUCCGACUGGAUUUGAACUUGCUAUAUAGUCCACGCUAACCUUAAAUUCUUGAUCCUUCUGCCUCAGCCUCGCAACUGCUGGGAUUACAGGGGUGGGCAACCAUGCCUGGCUUGAAUUUGAGUUUACAUCUCCUGAAAAUGACCCACCAGAUCAGAGGCCAACGUUACGCAAGAUCUGUAUAAAGGGGUCCUUUCUCCAAAAGGAGGCAACCCAGAAUAAUAGAAACAAUAAAAAGAAGUGCUAUCAGAAAAUACAAACUUUAAAAAAUGAACUGAAUAAUAAAUGCCAUCUAUCCAA